rnacentral:rRNA from 1 species
UACGUAGGGUGCGAGCGUUGUCCGGAAUUACUGGGCGUAAAGAGCUCGUAGGCGGUUUGUCGCGUUGUUCGUGAAAACCGGGGGCUUAACUCUCGGCGUGCGGGCGAUACGGGCAGACUGGAGUACUGCAGGGGAGACUGGAAUUCCUGGUGUAGCGGUGGAAUGCGCAGAUAUCAGGAGGAACACCGGUGGCGAAGGCGGGUCUCUGGGCAGUAACUGACGCUGAGGAGCGAAAGCGUGGGGAGCGAACAGG